AAAGAAACCAACCGGGAUUGCCUCAGUAACGGCGAGUGAAGCGGCAAGAGCUCAAAUUUGAAAUCUGGCCCCCUCCGGGGUCCGAGUUGUAAUUUGCAGAGGAUGCUUUGGGUGCGGCCCCCGUCUAAGUGCCCUGGAACGGGCCGUCAUAGAGGGUGAGAAUCCCGUCUGGGACGAGGUGUCCGUGCCCGUGUAAAGCUCCUUCGACGAGUCGAGUUGUUUGGGAAUGCAGCUCUAAAUGGGUGGUAAAUUUCAUCUAAAGCUAAAUACUGGCCGGAGACCGAUAGCGCACAAGUAGAGUGAUCGAAAGAUGAAAAGCACUUUGAAAAGAGAGUUAAACAGCACGUGAAAUUGUUGAAAGGGAAGCGCUUGCGACCAGACUCGCCUACGGGGUUCAGCCGGCAUUCGUGCCGGUGUACUUCCCCGUGGGCGGGCCAGCGUCGGUUUGGGCGGUCGGUCAAAGGCCUCCGGAAUGUAUCACCCCCCGGGGUGUCUUAUAGCCGGAGGUGCAAUGCGGCCAGCCUAGACCGAGGAACGCGCUUCGGCUCGGACGCUGGCAUAAUGGUCGUAAGCGAC
rnacentral:rRNA from 1 species